rnacentral:tRNA from 2 species
GCGCCCAUAGCUCAGCUGGAUAGAGCACAAGCCUUCUAAGCUUGGGGUCGGGAGUUCGAAUCUCUCUGGGCGUG